CCUACGGGUGGCAGCAGUGAGGAAUAUUGGUCAAUGGACGAGAGUCUGAACCAGCCAAGUAGCGUGAAGGAUGACUGCCCUAUGGGUUGUAAACUUCUUUUAUAUGGGAAUAAAACGUUCCACGUGUGGGAUUUUGUAUGUACCAUAUGAAUAAGGAUCGGCUAACUCCGUGCCAGCAGCCGCGGUAAUACGGAGGAUCCGAGCGUUAUCCGGAUUUAUUGGGUUUAAAGGGAGCGUAGGUGGAUUGUCAAGUCAGUUGUGAAAGUUUGCGGCUCAACCGUAAAAUUGCAGUUGAAACUGGCAGUCUUGAGUACAGUAGAGGUAGGCGGAAUUCGUGGUGUAGCGGUGAAAUGCUUAGAUAUCACGAAGAACUCCGAUUGCGCAGGCAGUUCACUGGCCUGCAACUGACACUGAGGCUCGAAAGUGUGGGUAUCAAACAGGAUUAGAUACCCGGGUAGUC
rnacentral:rRNA from 1 species